UGGGGAAUAUUGCACAAUGGGCGCAAGCCUGAUGCAGCCAUGCCGCGUGUAUGAAGAAGGCCUUCGGGUUGUAAAGUACUUUCAGCGGGGAGGAAGGGAGUAAAGUUAAUACCUUUGCUCAUUGACGUUACCCGCAGAAGAAGCACCGGCUAACUCCGUGCCAGCAGCCGCGGUAAUACGGAGGGUGCAAGCGUUAAUCGGAAUUACUGGGCGUAAAGCGCACGCAGGCGGUUUGUUAAGUCAGAUGUGAAAUCCCCGGGCUCAACCUGGGAACUGCAUCUGAUACUGGCAAGCUUGAGUCUCGUAGAGGGGGGUAGAAUUCCAGGUGUAGCUAUGCAAUGCGUAGAGAUCUGGAGGAAUACCGGUGGCGAAGGCGGCCCCCUGGACGAAGACUGCCGCUCAGGUGCGAAAGCGUGGGGAGCAAACAGG
rnacentral:rRNA from 1 species